UGGGAAUAUUGCACAAUGGGCGCAAGCCUGAUGCAGCCAUGCCGCGUGUGUGAAGAAGGCCUUCGGGUUGUAAAGCACUUUCAGCGAGGAGGAAGGUGGUGAACUUAAUACGUUCAUCAAUUGACGUUACUCGCAGAAGAAGCACCGGCUAACUCCGUGCCAGCAGCCGCGGUAAUACGGAGGGUGCAAGCGUUAAUCGGAAUUACUGGGCGUAAAGCGCACGCAGGCGGUUUGUUAAGUCAGAUGUGAAAAUCCCCGGGCUCAACCUGGGAACUGCAUUUGAAACUGGCAAGCUAGAGUCUCGUAGAGGGGGUAGAAUUCCAGGUGUAGCGGUGAAAUGCGUAGAGAUCUGGAGGAAUACCGGUGGCGAAGGCGGCCCCCUGGANGAAGACUGACGCUCAGGUGCGAAAAGCGUGGGGAGCAAACAGAUUAGNUACCCUGGUAGUCA
rnacentral:rRNA from 1 species